CGGCGGCUGCUACACAUGCAGUCGAACGAUGAACCACUUCGGUGGGGAUUAGUGGCGAACGGGUGAGUAACACGUGGGCAAUCUGCCCUGCACUCUGGGACAAGCCCUGGAAACGGGGUCUAAUACCGGAUACUGAUUGUCUUGGGCAUCCUUGAUGAUCGAAAGCUCCGGCGGUGCAGGAUGAGCCCGCGGCCUAUCAGCUUGUUGGUGAGGUAACGGCUCACCAAGGCGACGACGGGUAGCCGGCCUGAGAGGGCGACCGGCCACACUGGGACUGAGACACGGCCCAGACUCCUACGGGAGGCAGCAGUGGGGAAUAUUGCACAAUGGGCGCAAGCCUGAUGCAGCGACGCCGCGUGAGGGAUGACGGCCUUCGGGUUGUAAACCUCUUUCAGCAGGGAAGAAGCGAAAGUGACGGUACCUGCAGAAGAAGCGCCGGCUAACUACGUGCCAGCAGCCGCGGUAAUACGUAGGGCGCAAGCGUUGUCCGGAAUUAUUGGGCGUAAAGAGCUCGUAGGCGGCUUGUCGCGUCGGUUGUGAAAGCCCGGGGCUUAACCCCGGGUCUGCAGUCGAUACGGGCAGGCUAGAGUUCGGUAGGGGAGAUCGGAAUUCCUGGUGUAGCGGUGAAAUGCGCAGAUAUCAGGAGGAACACCGGUGGCGAAGGCGGAUCUCUGGGCCGAUACUGACGCUGAGGAGCGAAAGCGUGGGAGCGAACAGGAUUAGAUACCCUGGUAGUCCACGCGUAAACGGUGGGCACUAGGUGUGGGCACAUCACGUGUCGUGCGCAGCUACGCAUAAGUGCCCGCUUGGGAGUACGCGC
rnacentral:rRNA from 1 species